UACAAACAAAUGGUGGAAGUUUUCUUAUAAAUAGGAGGUGCCUUUAGCACUAAAUCAUCAGAUCUUCAGUCCAACACGGAAACCAUCUAUCAGCAUCAGAUAACCUACAAACCAAAAAUGGCCAAGACUUUCUUCGUAGUUCUCGCUGCCGCCCUCAUCGUUGCCGCCCUUGCCUUCGAGUUCGAAGACGAUUUCGAGGAUGAGGCCCUCGAUGUCGAAUUCCUGAAGAGGGAUCCCACACUGCAGGAAUACCUCGUGGCUGAGAAGAGGGGAAAGAACAUUAAGAAGUACAAGUACUGCCCUGGAGUUUCGGGCCAGCCAUGCUGGUGCAGCAGGAGGACCAAGAAGAUCGUCUUCUGCAGCGGAGCUGGAAAUGGUGAUGCCAUAUAAAUGCUAUUCGUCUUCGUGACCCCUCGACCUCAAGACCGUUUGGACAGACACCGGAAUUUCGUUGACCCGUAGUCAUGAUAUCAUUAGCACCCCCGUUUGGAAAAAAACUUUGGCAAAUCUACUGCAGCCUCAUGUGGAGUGCGAUGUGGGUUAAACGCCAUAUAUGCCUAUACCCUUUAUCUUCGGAAGAAGUGAAUAUGGUAUAAUAAACGACAAAUUUUCUGCAAUAA